rnacentral:rRNA from 1 species
GUAAUGUAUGGGGAUCUGCCUGAUGGGGGGGGAUAACUACUGGAAACGGUAGCUAAUACCGCAUAACGUCGCAAGACCAAGAGGGGGACCUCGGGCCUCUUGCCAUCGGAUGUGCCCAGAUGGGAUUAGCUAGUAGGUGGAGUAACGGCUCACCUAGGCGACGAUCCCUAGCUGGUCUGAGAGGAUGACCAGCCACACUGGAACUGAGACACGGUCCAG